UCACUGCCCACUAUGGUCUGCAAUCUCCAGGCAGCAGCAGCUUUUUUUUUUUUUUUUUUCCUCCUGUAACCAAAAAUACCACUUUCUCAGUGUUUCCCUUAGGAUUCCAUCUCUGGCUCACGUGGGCUGACCUUUGCAGCUGUAGAUCUGAUCCUAGAGGUGUCUGAAAACCUAGCAGGCUUGACUCAUCACAAGUCUUUUGGUGUUAAAGAGAGGCAAGCUGCCUUGUGACAUGAUUUCCCCGUUGUAAACAUCUAUCACUUUUCUCUCAUAUUUGACUUUGAAAGCCAAUUUUUGAAAUUAAGACUGUCUUCUUACUGCAUGAGUAAACCAUACUGAAAAUUUGGGGUGCUGCAGCUAUAAACGCGUUCAUAUCUACUGUCACUUCUAAUGUAGGGAUCACCCGCCUCUGCUACACAGCCUCUGCUGGAGACGCUUCCCCUCUCCUGAGGGGAAAAGACAAGGCAACAAAACAUCUGCUCUGAGGAGUUCAGAUGUCUGCAGUGCUGUGCUGAGAGAAAGGAGUGGGCGGGAAGGUGAAUUAGUGCCAAGACACAGAGGAGUUACUCAGGAGCUUCCUGGGAAUGGUCUGAGCAGUGCAGCAUCCCCACUGGAGGAUAUAAAGUUGUUGUUUUGGAUUUUGGAGUUGUGAUUUUGGAGCACCUACCUUGUAUUUUGACUUUAAUAUUGCGGUGAACCUGAGAAACCAAACAGUUUUAUUAAACUCCUUUUUACAGGUCAGUAAGAAAUUACAUAAUCCUUAACAACUCUUACUUUAAGUCUUCUGUCUCUAGAGAUUCAAAUUUACCAUCUCUGCCAAAUUACUAUAUAUCAUGUUUCAGUGAUGACUCCUGAGUGAUUGGAGUCACUUCAACUGCAUUUUAAAAGACUGAAUUAUAAAUAUCUGCUACGAUGCUUGGCUUGCAGAAAUCUCAGUUCCAAAUACUGUUUUCUUUGGUUCAUAAGGCUUUCAAGUAGGUGGGAAGUAAUAAAAGAUGGUUUACUGUUUUAGACUAGAUACUA
rnacentral:lncRNA from 1 species